rnacentral:rRNA from 1 species
GACGAAGGAUGCAAGCGUUAUCCGGAUUCAUUGGGUUUAAAGGGCGCGUAGGCGGGUAUGUAAGUCAGUGGUGAAAUCUCAUAGCUUAACUAUGAAACUGCCAUUGAUACUGCGUACCUAGAGUACAGUUGCCGUUGGCGGAAUAUGACAUGUAGUGGUGAAAUACUUAGAUAUGUCAUAGAACACCGAUUGCGAAGGCAGCUAACGAAGCUGUAACUGACGCUGAGGCUCGAAAGUGCGGGGAUCAAACAGG